CCUGAUGUCUGCCUGAAUAGCCCUUGGCUACCCCGAGCACGUCCCAUGCUACUUCCCUAACCAAGUUUGACGUCUUGACCACAUAGCGUCCGCUGCCCUAGAACUUCUCCAAGCUCCACCGUCAGCUAACCUCCUCUCCAACUCUUGUGAUUUCUCCUUAGUCAAAACACCCCAUCUAAUCCGCGGUUUUCUCCGAGCACCUCUCCUCUUCCUCUUCACCCAGAGACUGACAUCCACCACUAGGAGUCUAUGAAGAGUCGAAAGGGACUCUCCCGGAAUAACCUUGCAGUC
rnacentral:lncRNA from 1 species